GAUGAAGAACGUAGCGAAAUGCGAUAAGUAAUGUGAAUUGCAGAAUUCAGUGAAUCAUCGAAUCUUUGAACGCACCUUGCACCCUUUGGCAUUCCGAAGGGUAUGCUCGUUUGAGUGUCAUUGUACUCUCACACUUCUGAUCCUUUGGAUUGGGAGCGGUGGACUUGGGUGUUGCUGCUUUACUGUGGCUCACCUCAAAUGCAUUCGUGCAACUCUUGGUUGGACAUAGUACGGCGUGAUAAGUAUCUUCGCCGGCACCUCGCAAGAGGGUGGCUGAUCAGGAGCUCUGUGCUUUCCAACUGUCUUCAGACAACAACUGACAACUUGACCUCAAAUCGAGUAGGACCACCCGCUGAACUUAAGCAUAUCAUAAGCGGAGGA
rnacentral:misc_RNA from 1 species